AGGUGCGAUCGUACCAGCACUAAUGCACCGGAUCCCAUCAGAACGCCUCAGUCAAGCGUGCUUGGGCGAGAGUAGUACUAGGAUGGGUGACCUCCUGGGAAGUCCUCGUGUUGCACUUC
rnacentral:rRNA from 1 species